rnacentral:rRNA from 1 species
UGGGGAAUUUUGGACAAUGGGGGAAACCCUGAUCCAGCCAUCCCGCGUGUGCGAUGAAGGCCUUCGGGUUGUAAAGCACUUUUGGCAGGAAAGAAACGUCAUGGGUUAAUACCCCGUGAAACUGACGGAACCUGCAGAAUAAGCACUGGCUAACUACGUGCCAGCAGCCGCGGUAAUACGUAGGGUGCAAGCGUUAAUCGGAAUUACUGGUCGUAAAGCGUGCGCAGGCGGUUCGGAAAGAAAGAUGUGAAAUCCCAGAGCUCAACUUUGGAACUGCAUUUUUAACUACCGGGCUAGAGUGUGUCAGAGGGAGGUGGAAUUCCGCGUGUAGCAGUGAAAUGCGUAGAUAUGCGGAGGAACACCGAUGGCGAAGGCAGCCUCCUGGGAUAACACUGACGCUCAUGCACGAAAGCGUGGGGAGCAAACAGG